rnacentral:rRNA from 1 species
UACGGAGGGGGCUAGCGUUGUUCGGAAUUAUUGGGCGUAAAGGGCGCGUAGGUGGCUUAGUAAGUUAAGAGUGAAAUGCCGAGGCUUAACCUCGGAACUGCUAUUAAUACUGCUGAGCUGGAGGUCGAGAGAGGAUAGUGGAAUUCCUAGUGUAGAGGUGAAAUUCGUAGAUAUUAGGAGGAACACCAGUGGCGAAGGCGACUAUCUGGAUCGAUACUGACACUGAGGCGCGAAAGCGUGGGGAGCAAACAGG